CUUUUCGAGGUAGGAGUCGACUCCUGUGAGGUAUGGUGCUGGGUGCAGAUGCAGUGUGGCUCUGGAUAGCACCUUAUGGACAGUUGUGUCCCCAAGGAAGGAUGAGAAUAGCUACUGAAGUCCUAAAGAGCAAGCCUAACUCAAGCCAUUGGCACACAGGCAUUAGACAGAAAGCUGGAAGUUGAAAUGGUGGAGUCCAACUUGCCUGGACCAGCUUAAUGGUUCUGCUCCUGGUAACGUUUUUAUCCAUGGAUGACUUGCUUGGGUAUGGAGAGUCGGCUUGACUACACUGUGUGGAGCAAGUUUUAAAGAAGCAAAGGACUCAGAAUUCAUGAUUGAAGAAAUGCAGACCUGUUAUCCUAAACUAGGGUUUUUAAUGACCACAACAAGCAAGCAUGCAGCUUACUGCUUGAAAGGGUCUUGCCUCACCCAAGCUAGAGUGCAGUGGCCUUUGAAGCUUACUACAGCCUCAAACUUCUGGGCUCAAGUGAUCCUCAGCCUCCCAGUGGUCUUUGUAGACUGCCUGAUGGAGUCUCAUGGCACAAGAAGAUUAAAACAGUGUCUCCAAUUUUAAUAAAUUUUUGCAAUCCAU
rnacentral:lncRNA from 1 species